UGUCAAUAUUGGAGUUAUUUUUAUAUUUAUAUUUAUUUAUGAGCAUAUUAUUUUAUUAAUGGAUAGAUGUCGUUGCGAAGAAUACAGAGCUGCUGUGGAUAAUUUAAAGUUCUAUACGGUUGGAACACUUAGACCUGAUAUUAUUGAGAACUAUAAUCAGUCAGGUUACAUAGUCAAUUGGAUAAGACAUGGAGUUGACUACGAAGAUUUAAAGUUCAGCAAGCCAAAAGCAACAAAGGUGUAUGAACCUCAUGAGUUAUCAGAGAACCAAUUAACACCACAGAGUCGCAAGAUAGAGAAAAUGUGGUGUAAAUAUAUGACACCAGUAAGGAAGUAGACCUAAAAAUGUCUUGACUUGAACAAAAUAAAAAUAAAUUCAAACUUAUUAACAAGCUUUUAUGUAACGAGUAAAUUAAAAAAAAUAUCUUUAAAAUAAUA